CCUACGGGUGGCAGCAGUGGGGAAUAUUGCACAAUGGGCGCAAGCCUGAUGCAGCGACGCCGCGUGAGGGAUGACGGCCUUCGGGUUGUAAACCUCUGUUAGCAGGGAAGAAGAGAGAUUGACGGUACCUGCAGAGAAAGCGCCGGCUAACUACGUGCCAGCAGCCGCGGUAAUACGUAGGGCGCGAGCGUUGUCCGGAAUUAUUGGGCGUAAAGAGCUUGUAGGCGGUUUGUCGCGUCUGCUGUGAAAGGCCGGGGCUUAACUCCGUGUAUUGCAGUGGGUACGGGCAGACUAGAGUGCAGUAGGGGAGACUGGAAUUCCUGGUGUAGCGGUGGAAUGCGCAGAUAUCAGGAGGAACACCGAUGGCGAAGGCAGGUCUCUGGGCUGUAACUGACGCUGAGAAGCGAAAGCAUGGGGAGCGAACAGGAUUAGAUACCCGUGUAGUC
rnacentral:rRNA from 1 species